AGAGUUUGAUCCUGGCUCAGAACGAACGCUGGCGGCAGGCUAACACAUGCAAGUCGAGCGCGCGUUCGGGUGAGCGGCGGACGGGUUAGUAACGCGUGGGAACGUGCCCUUUCUCUACGGAAUAGCCUCUGGAAACGGAGAGUAAUACCGUAUACGCCCUUUGGGGGAAAGAUUUAUCGGAGAAGGAUCGGCCCGCGUUAGAUUAGGUAGUUGGUGGGGUAACGGCCUACCAAGCCUACGAUCUAUAGCUGGUUUUAGAGGAUGAUCAGCAACACUGGGACUGAGACACGGCCCAGACUCCUACGGGAGGCAGCAGUGGGGAAUCUUAGACAAUGGGGGCAACCCUGAUCUAGCCAUGCCGCGUGAGUGAUGAAGGCCUUAGGGUCGUAAAGCUCUUUCGCCUGUGAUGAUAAUGACAGUAGCAGGUAAAGAAACCCCGGCUAACUCCGUGCCAGCAGCCGCGGUAAUACGGAGGGGGUUAGCGUUGUUCGGAAUUACUGGGCGUAAAGCGCGCGUAGGCGGAUUAGAAAGUUGGGGGUGAAAUCCCGGGGCUCAACCCCGGAACUGCCUCCAAAACUGCUAGUCUAGAGUUCGAGAGAGGUGAGUGGAAUUCCGAGUGUAGAGGUGAAAUUCGUAGAUAUUCGGAGGAACACCAGUGGCGAAGGCGGCUCACUGGCUCGAUACUGACGCUGAGGUGCGAAAGUGUGGGGAGCAAACAGGAUUAGAUACCCUGGUAGUCCACACCGUAAACGAUGAAUGCCAGUCGUCGGAUAGUAUACUAUUCGGUGACACACCUAACGGAUUAAGCAUUCCGCCUGGGGAGUACGGUCGCAAGAUUAAAACUCAAAGGAAUUGACGG
rnacentral:rRNA from 1 species